rnacentral:rRNA from 1 species
UACGAAGGGGGCUAGCGUUACUCGGAUUGACUGGGCGUAAAGGGCGCGUAGGCGGCUUGUACAGUCAGACGUGAAAUUCUGGGCUCAACCUGGGGGCUGCGUUUGAUACGUGCGGGCUUGAGUUCGGAAGAGGGUCGUGGAAUUCCCAGUGUAGAGGUGAAAUUCGUAGAUAUUGGGAAGAACACCGGUGGCGAAGCGGCGACCUGGUCCGAUACUGACGUGAGGCGCGAAAGCGUGGGGAGCAAACAGG